rnacentral:rRNA from 1 species
UACGUAGGGGGCAAGCGUUGUCCGGAAUUAUUGGGCGUAAAGCGCGCGCAGGCGGUUCUUUAAGUCUGAGGUUUAAAUGCAGGGCUCAACCUUGUAACGCCUUGGAAACUGGGGGGCUGGAGUGUAGGAGAGGAAAGUGGAAUUCCACGUGUAGCGGUGAAAUGCGUAGAGAUGUGGAGGAACACCAGUGGCGAAGGCGACUUUCUGGCCUAUAACUGACGCUGAGGCGCGAAAGCGUGGGGAGCAAACAGG